rnacentral:rRNA from 1 species
AUUGAACGCUGGCGGCAUGCCUUACACAUGCAAGUCGAACGGCAGCACGGGAGCAAUCCUGGUGGCGAGUGGCGAACGGGUGAGUAAAGUAUCGGAACGUGCCCAGUCGUGGGGGAUAACGUAGCGAAAGUCACGCUAAUACCGCAUACGAUCUAUGGAUGAAAGCGGGGGAUCGCAAGACGUCGCGCGAUUGGAGCGGCCGAUAUCAGAUUAGGUAGUUGGCGGGGUAAAGGCUCACCAAGCCGACGAUCUGUAGCUGGUCUGAGAGGACGACCAGCCACACUGGGACUGAUACACGGCCCAGACUCCUACGGGAGGCAGCAGUGGGGAAUUUUGGACAAUGGGCGAAAGCCUGAUCCAGCCAUGCCGCGUGCAGGAUGAAGGCCUUCGGGUUGUAAACUUCUUUUGUACGGAACGAAAAGGUUUGGCCUAAUAAGCUGAGCUCAUGACGGUACCGUAAGAAUAAGCACCGGCUAACUACGUGCCAGCCGCCGCCGUAA